rnacentral:rRNA from 1 species
UACAGAGGGGGCAAGCGUUGUUCGGAAUUACUGGGCGUAAAGGGCGCGUAGGCGGCCUGCUAAGUCGAACGUGAAAUCCCCGGGCUCAACCCGGGAACUGCGUCCGAUACUGACAGGCUUGAAUCCGGGAGAGGGAUGUGGAAUUCCAGGUGUAGCGGUGAAAUGCGUAGAUAUCUGGAGGAACACCGGUGGCGAAGGCGGCAUCCUGGACCGGUAUUGACGCUGAUGCGCGAAAGCGUGGGGAGCAAACAGG